rnacentral:rRNA from 1 species
AUUAAAAACAUGGCCUAUUGAUAAUAAUUUUAGGUYUGACCUGCCCAAUGAUUUAAUAAUUUAAUGGCCGCGGUAUUUUGACCGUGCAAAGGUAGCAUAAUCAUUAGUUUUUUAAUUGAAAGCUGGUAUGAAAGGUUUGAUGAGAAAAUAACUGUCUCUAUCUAAAUUAAUUAGAAUUUUAUUUUUAAGUAAAAAAGCUUAAAUAUUUAUAGAAGACGAGAAGACCCUAUAGAGUUUUAUAGUUUAUUUUAUGAAUGAAAUUUUAGAAUUUUUUAGUUUAUAAAAUUAACUAUUUAGUUGGGGUGAUUGAAAAAUUAAGUAAACUUUUUCUUUAUAAUUACAUUUAUUUAUGAGUAUUUGAUCCUUAUUUGAAGAUUAAAAGAUAAAAUUACCUUAGGGAUAACAGCGUAAUUUUUUUUUAGAGUUCAAAUUAAAAAAAAAGAUUGCGACCUCGAUGUUGGAUUAAAAGAAAUUAUUGGUGUAGAAGCUAAUAAAUUAGGUCUGUUCGACCUUUAAAAUUUUACAUGAUCUGAGUUUAAACCGGUGUGAGCCAGG